AGAUUGAACGCUGGCGGCGUGCUUAACACAUGCAAGUCGAGCGGUAACGCGGGAGCAAUCCUGGCGACGAGCGGCGAACGGGUGAGUAAUGCUUGGGAAUCUGCCCAUUAGUGGGGAACAACCAGCCGAAAGGUUGGCUAAUACCGCAUACGCCCUACGGGGGGAAAGCGGGGGAUCGAAAGACCUCGCGCUAAUGGAUGAGCCCAAGUCGGAUUAGCUUGUUGGUAGGGUAACGGCCUACCAAGGCGACAAUCCGUAGCUGGUCUGAGAGGACGACCAGCCACACUGGGACUGAGACACGGCCCAGACUCCUACGGGAGGCAGCAGUGGGGGAAUAUUGGACAAUGGGGGCAACCCUGAUCCAGCGACGCCGCGUGUGUGAAGAAGGCCUGCGGGUUGUAAAGCACUUUUAGUGGGGAUGAAAAGCUCAGGGUUAACACCUCUGGGUCUUGACCUAACCCACAGAAAAGCACCGGCUAACUCUGCGCCAGCAGCCGC
rnacentral:rRNA from 1 species